ensembl:lncRNA
GGGGGUAUGGAGAAUUCCAUGGUAGUCAGUGUGAGGCAGGACUGGCUAGAAUUGAGGGAAGAGAGUUAGGUCUAAAUUAUUGAGGACCUGGAAGGUGGUGCCAAAAUCAUGGACUUUGUUAUUAAGUCAAUGAGGAGACACUGGAGGGUUUAAGUGGUUGUGGGUAAUAUGGUCAGACCUUCACUUUUGAAAUUUCACUCGCUCUGGCCACGAUAUGGAGGAUGAAUUUGAAAGCGGGAUUCUGAGGAGUUAGUUUAGGAAGCUGAUGAAGAAAGGUUGUUAAGAGACUCUGAGGCCUGAACUAGAGCAAUGGGAUGGAGAGGAAGAGAUGCUGCUUCCGCUCUGCCACAAGCUCUUGUGCUCUGUAAUUUGGCAUUUCUACUGAGGUGUUUGUGAUUUCAUUCCAGGAUAGAUUGACCUCUCUCUUUCUCAACAGUGAUCAAAGCUUUUUGAUAAAAAGUAAACGUUAAUGGUAGAAUUUCAGGAAUCAAUAGUGAUUACAGCAGCAGUUUCAGGAGAGGACAGGCCUUUUAGGGUCCCCAACAUCAUACUGUGUUGUUGGUUGCCCUGGUUAUUAAGACCUUUCAUGGCUCUGAUCCAGGGUGACUUUCAGGGCUGAUCUGUAGGUGCUCUGUCUCUCUGCUUCACCCCGUCCAGCAUGUCUCACUUCUCCAGCUAGACUUACAGCACAUAGAGAGGCACCAGAGAGCCACUAGAAUUUAGUCUACUAUCUUCCUUAUGAGGAAUAGAUGCACACUGUUGUUCUCUGCUUUCACUAGGAGGAGUAAGGACACUUAUAAAAUUUGCUUGUUGUGUAGCCCCAUGUUUAGAGUCAUGUUAGAUUCUUCCUAAAAUUUUAGAAUCUAUGCCCAGCGAUUUCUUCUUAUACCCCAAUGUGAAAAUCUCUCCACAAAUAUCCCUGCUAAUAUCUAGCAUAUGCUUGAAUAUGUCCAUCGACAAGGAACUCGUUAUCUUUCAUGGAAGAACUUUCUAUAUUAGAAUAAUGUCUCUACCUAUAUUGUUAAAAAAAUCUCUCUCUUUGUACCUUCCAUACAUUGGAUUUUAUUCUAUUUUCUGAACCUCCUAGAACAUGACAGAACUGAAGAUAAUCACUGUCAAUCUUCAUGUCUUGCAGAGACUUCUCUUCUUGAAGGUGAGCAUCCUCCAUACCUGAGAUUAUUUCCAAAAUUAUGUGGUUUCUCAUCUCUAUACAAUUUUCGUCUUCCUUUGAUAUACUUCUUUUUAGUGUGGGCCCACAGCUGACUCUAGCUAGGGAAGUUAGCAUUCUUCUACAUAAUUGGGUAAACCUAGUGGGGAUUAUCUGACAGUGAUCUGAGAGCAAAACUCUGAGGGAAAGAAGCACAGGAUAGGAAUAGGGGCAGAGGCAGACAGGGAGGAGGAGUCAGCAUUCAGGACUGUCUCUUCCACUGCAGGUGGGCUUCUGCAAUGUAGCAAUCGGGGGAGAGAGCAGGCUUGUAGUUAAUUGCAGGCUGCCAUAAUCCCAGCUUUGUAACUUGUUUGAUAAGAGGCACCCAAAUAUAAAACCUAAAGGAAAGCUUCCGAGGGGUGUGACUUGGGUUAUGACAUCAUCCCUGAGCCAAUCAUUGUGACUCAAGGGAUGGGGGCAUCACAGUAGAUGACACCUGUGUUGUCUGACUUUCCUGUAGAUGAGGAGAGGGAGGCAUGGGAAGCAUUGUGGUUUGGAGCUCUGACAGAGUGAUCUGGAGUAGGGAAGAGGCAGUCCUCAAAAGGAAGGCUGAACCAAAUGAUCUCUUGAACCUCUUUGAGCUCUUGGCGCUUCAGUUUUCACUGGGCUUGAGAAGAGGGAAGAGCUCUUAUGACAUUUGAGUGGUUCUUGGCGAUGAUAAAUUGCCCACGAUGUGGAGAUGGGGAAGAGAAAUGGAAGAGAAGGUGCCCAAAUGAGAAGGACAUGGACUGAGUGAGUAUAUUAUUGGAAGGCCAUCCAUCUCGGCCUGGGAUAGCUCUAGAUAGAAAAGAGAACUGUGGGUGAGCUGCUGCAAUCUUUAUUGACUAAGACAUAAUAUGGGAGUGGAUAGAUCAUGAUGAGGAGGAGCAGGAAAUGGUCCUUAAAUAAAAUGACACCAGUCUAGAAGGAGCAGAGGGUUUUUACAAGAAAAGAGUGGAAAAAUAGUCCAGAAAUAGCACUGAGCAGCUAGUAGAGGAUGUACAAGAAUGAUUUGUGUCAAAUUAAGAGAGAGGCAGAAGUGAUUCCUCAGAAAAAAGCCACAUUUUACGUAAGACAAGAAAGUGAAAGUGGCUGUCAUUGUAAAUACCUAGACCAUAUGGACCAGGAUUGGGGUUCUGGAGAACACAGAUUUAGUAAGGAAAUGAAGAGAUGCAGACUGGGUAACUAAAGUUAAUCUGGAUGUGAGGCUUUUGGGUUUUGAUGGCUAUAAGGUUUCCAAACUGCUGGAGGACAGAGUUGCUCACGCUUUUAGAGAAGAUUAGCUAUAUACUUUUAUUAAAUGUGAAAAUAAGGGACUACCAGUUCCCCUAAGUAGAUUUUGUAUAUUUAGAGCUGGAGACAUAGCUUUGUGGUGCAGCCAGUUGGCCGUAUAUCUGAACACACAUCAGGGAUGCGAACCCAUAGGGCAUCUCUGGGGGCCUGUGUCCUGGGAACAAGCUGUUGUUUGUAUUGCUGACCCCUCAAAUUGGUGUAUAAUGAUGAUAUAUCUAGAUAUGAUGUUGCAGUAGCCAGGAAAACUUGCCCCACAAAGAUUUUUACUCCAGAUCUUUUUCAGAGACUUCCUCAGCAAAGAUACAUUUUCUCUUUUUAUGCAUUUAAAGGAAUAAGCUCUAACCUUGAGGGAAGACAGAAUCAAAGAUCUGGCAACAUUUAUCAUAAAUAAUGAAUGAAAAAACAUUAAAAAAUUAAUUGGGAAAAAUUAAGUAUCAGUGUAGUAUUUGUGCAAAUUGGCUCAUGGGAGUUGUGGUAGGUUUGCCUUGCUGCUGAGCUGUCUGCAUGAAAUUCUCCUUCCAUGGCACUCUCCAGGCUCUGCUUAGGUUCUCCUCCUCCCUUGCCAAGAGCUCCUUCUGUUUUCCUCCUCUGGUCCCUAAGUGAGUGUUCUUCAAACCUCAGCUCUCAAGCUUGAGAAUGCUUUCAAAGGUUUGUCCUUCAGACUUUUACUAUUUAUUUCCAAAUCUGUAUAGCCCAUUCCUUUCUCUGACCCAGAAUCCAGACUCUUACUACUAGAAGCAAACAUAUAGAACACCUUUCUUGGAAAGCACAAUAUCAUCUCAGCAAACUCAUUUGGAAUCUCAACUCAUUAUCUUUCUUCCCAAACUCCCAUUCUCUCUCGGGGGUGCCAUUAUUAUCCUGGACAUUCAGGCCCCAAAUAUUUCUGUAUCUCAUUUGUACUGUUCCUAGGUCACACUAGUUUUUUCUUAGCAAUCCUUUUUCGAUUUGCUCUUUUCACUCUUCCUCUUUUGAUUCCACUGCCAUAUGACCAGUUUCUAAUUCCUUUUCCUUACUCUCAAAUCUAUCCUGCUCACAAAGCCAAUCUUUUUAAAGCACUGAGUUAAUUUGUCCCUACUGCAUUAAAAAAUCCAUGGAAUACUGUCCCUAGGCCUCUCUGAUAUCUCAAUUUUACAUUCUUUCUUUUUUUUUUUUAAAGAUUGGCACCUGAGCUAACAACUGUUGCCAAUCUUUUUGUUUUUUCUGCUUUUCCUCCCCAAAUAUCCACAAUACAUAGUUUUGUAUAUUUUUUUUUAGUUGUGGAUCCUUCUAGUUGUGGCAUGCGGGACACCACCUCAACAUGGCCUAAUGAGCAGUGCCAUGUCAGCGCCCAGUAUCCGAACCGGGGAAACCCUGGGCUGCCGAAGCAGAGCACAUGAACUUAACCACUUGGCCACAGAGCCGGCCCCACAAUUUUACAUUCUAAGGCCCAGCUCGUACUCUGCUUCCUCUAGGAAGCAACAGUUUCCACCCAAAACUCCAUAUCUCCAUCUUGGCAUCUGCUUCCAAAGAACCCAACCUGUGAAAGUUGGUGCUGGAAGUGGUCCACAAAAGCAAAUGAUAAGAUGAGGUUUGGGAUCACUAGCCACCAAGCUGCAAUAAAGACCCAAUCACUGGUGCACAGACAACCCGUGGCAGUAUUCCACUUGUUAAACUUACACUAGUGGUGAAAUGAUGAUGGUGAACUGGUGGGAGGGAAUGUACUAGCACACAGGAUGUAACAGGCUUUUGAGAGCAAUGUAUGAAAUGAGUAAAUAGUCCAUAUAGGGUGGUAGGAUUGGGUAGCUAUUGCUAAAUGCCACUGAUGCUUUACAGGAAAAUAAUGAACAGCUUCAGGUAAUAGAAAGCCAGGUAUGAAAGCCAGAGGGCACCUUUGGUUGCAUACAAAGAAGGUCUCCUUUCAAAACCAAGAACUGAGCUAGGACUUAAUAGUGAUAGCGGCUGAAUUACAAGACUGUUAAAUGCCCAACUGUGGCAGGUCUGCUUUGUUGAAGUCCACCUAGAACCAAGAAUAUUGCCUAAAGAGGUGGCUAAGUUCCUAGGAAGAAGGACCCUGGAAUGCCAUGGCAUAAAUGCACAGUAAUGGUUUCCCCAGUCCUUCUCCAAAGAGAACUAAGGCCAUUUAUGUGGGUAAAUAUACUCUGGGGAAGGGGAAUGCCAAGCCAUUCCAGGGACUGUUGGGCACAGAAUUUGAGUUGAUAUUGAUACUCAGAAAGCCAAAUUAUAUGGUCCUUUUGUUAGAGCAAGGGCUCAUGGGGUCUUGUACAAGGUCUGGUGGUCAUUGCCUCAUCCUCAAAUAUACGUUUGAGUGGCCAGCCUGGUGGCACAGUGGUUAAGUUCAGCACGUUCCACUUUGGUGGCCUGGGGUUUGCUGGUUUGGAUCGUGGGUGCAGACCUACGCAUUGCUUCUCAAGCCAUGCUGUGGCAGGCAUCCCACAUAUAAAGUAGAGGAAGAUGGGCACAGAUGUUAGCUCAGGGCCAGUCUUCCUCAGCAAAAAAGAGGAGGAAUGGCAGCAGAUGUUAGUUCAGGGCUAACCUUCCUCAAAAAAACAAAAAAUAUAUAUACAUUUGGGUUUGACAUACUUGGCAGUUGGUACAACCACCAUAUUGGGUCAUUAGUCUGUGGGGUCAAAGCUACCAUACAGAAAACCUCUAACCUGCUCCUCACCCUUCUCCACCCCUGCAACCAAGAUAGUGAAUCAGAGCCAAUAUUGCAUUCUAGAGGGGAUGGUUGAGAUUAGUGUCAUAUUUAAAGGACCUAAAUGAUACAAGUAGUGGUCUUCAUCGUAUUUCCAUUUAAUUCAUGAGUCUAGUCUCUGCAAAAACUAGAUGGAGCUUGGCAAAGCUUGACAAAGUCCUAGCCCCAAUAACAACUGCCUUGCCAGAUGUGUUUUCUUUGUUAGUGCAGAUUAAUAUAGCAGCAGGUACAUGGUACACAGCCAUUGAUUUGGUGACCAGCACUUUUCUAUCACCAUCACAAAGAAAGUUCAGAAAGAGCUCACAUUCACAUCAUAUGGAAUGGAUAAUUGCAUGCAUUUAUAAUUUUGCUCCAGGGCUGUGCUAACUUUCCUGCUCUCUAUCACAACAUAGGCUGAGGAGCUCUAGACCAGUGCUGUCCAAUGUACAUAAAAUGUGAGCCACAUAGAAUUUAAAUUUUCUAAUAGCCAUAUUAAAAAAGUAAAAGGAAACAGGUAAGUUAAUUUUAAUAUAUAUUUUAUUUAACCCAAGGUUUCCAAAUAUUAUAAUUUUAACACAUAAUCAAUAUAAAAAUUAUUAGUGAGAUUUUUUACAGUUUUCUGUACUUCUGUUGUGUUUUAUGCUUACGGCAUAUCUCAAUUAGAUGUUACAGUUUCAUGUGAUAUACUUGAUCUCAUAAAAUUUACAGUUGAAAAUUUUCACUGUAGAUUCAGAUGCCCAGGUUGUUCCAAAUGCACUUAAAAGUUGACCAAAAACUGAAUCAACUACUGAAAAGAAUAAUUUUCCUUUAAUACCUGUAUCCACAUUGACAAAACUGAUUUAUCUUUCUUGAAGAAUUGAUUUGACUUUGCAGCAAAUGUCUGUCAGUUUCGAAACUACAGCUGUGAAAAUGAAGUAAAUUAAUUCUUUUGUCAAUCCAGUAUUAUUAAAAUUGAAUUCAAAGGGGUAGUACAUAAGUUGAAAAACAACUCUAAAUUAUUAAUAUCAACAGGUGUUCUUCAUAUUUUUAUUAUGGUUUUUGCAAUCAAUUUACAUAACACUGUCGAUUACACUUAAAAUUUCUAUAUUAAUUCAUGUUGGAAAACAUGUAAAAUCAUUAUUAUUUAUUUAUAUUACAAAAAGUUUCAAUUUCAACAUAAAUUGCAUGCACAUGUAGCUAGGUCACAAAUAAAUGUUUCCUUUCCUCAGAGCUUCAAAGUUAGUUUAUUCAUAUGCAGUGUGAUAUUAGUGAGAAAAUGUAAAUUGCAUUGCCAUUUUUUGUCUUUGAUUAUUGAAUAUUUGGCAAGGAUUCCUUUUUUUCUCAAGGAGUUUAUAGUUUAUUGGAAUUGGGGUUUAUAGUUCAGGAAAUCUUUGUACAACUCUUUCAUGACUCAGCCCAUGAGGAUAAUUAAGUUCAUUGUUUUCUAUUUUUUUCAAAAGUUUGAUAAAAUGGUGAUGAUUUUUGUACAUAUAUAUAGUAUGGUUUUAACAGUUAUAUCAGGGGUGCUUUUCUUUACAAUUUGCUUCAGAAAACUAACCACAAAUAUUUCCAAUAUGUAUCGUAUAGUGGGAUAAAUCAGCAAGGGAAAAAUCAAUGUCUUGUUUUAAAAUUCUGGAAGAUCCAAUUUGGACUUAACAUAGUUGGAGCAAUAUCCAUAGUCACAGAAGCUAAUUUUUCAUACCUAUAUAAAAUUUUUCUUUGGCAUAUGUAAAACGUUUAAAAUAUCCAUGCCAUGAGUGUAAUUUUUUAGGUUGCAAGUUGGUAUUUUUUUAUAAAUUUGGAAGUCAGAUUGAGACAAAAUAUACCAAAGUAUUUAUUGGGCCAUGUCUCCUAAUAUUGCAUGGCUCAUCUAACGCUAAUGAAAAGUGCUUGCAGUGUUUCAAAUUUUGAAUCAAUUUUUGAUAACUGUCGGAAAAGCUUAUUAUUCUAGUGAUAAUUGGUUGCUUAAUUGAUGAUCUUUCACUUUUUGUGAAAUACCUUUUUUAUAUUUUUCUUAAUAUUUCAUAAUAAACUUUCUAUAACUGUAAUUUUUUACCAUUUCUACAACUAAAAACCAUUUUCUAUUUUGUGUGAGAAUCCAAGACAUUUUAUAGCUGGCCAACCUUAUAAGCUCAGAUCCUGUUAAGACUAACAAAAUUUUUGUUGGAUAUUUAGUUCUGAUUUCAGGUAACUAAUUUUGUUUAUUCCUUUUUUGCUGCUGUGAGGAAUCUUCUUAUCAAUUUUACUGUAUAUCAUUGGCUGAAAACGUCUCCCUAUUGCUCACCUAUUAUCUUAAAAUUUUUCUUACAGAAUGAACAAGCAACUUUUUUGUUUUUCUUUGCUGUAGCAAAUUGCAAUUGCCAUUUAUCAUGAAAUUUAUGUUGUACUUUCUUGCAGUCUCUUUUUUUCUUUACCUUUCCAGUUAUAGUACUGGCUUUUGCAUUUUCACUCAGUCUGCAACAGUAAUAUGCCUUCAUUUUGAUUUUAAAAAUUUAUCCAUAUUUAUUUCUUUAAACUAGAAAAAUAGUUUAAUUAUAUUACAAUUAAAAUCAUAAUAAACAAUUUAAUUACCAGUUACAUUUUAUAUAGGUAUCACUGUAAUGUGUACUGAUUACAGAAAAUAUUCAAAUGAACACAACAUUACACUCAUGCCUGGAGAGUCAUUUGUACUUAAUCAGUUUGUUGACAUCCACUAGAUCCAUGAUGUGUUUCUGUGUAAUACGAGGAAUGAUGCAUGUCCCUGAAACAUGCUGUGCAAUAUAACAAUAUUAUAUUACUCUAUGCGAUCUUUAACAUGACAUGUAAUCCUACCAAAACAAUAAAGUAUGUUUAACAGAAAAAGUCCUUCACACUGUUUCAGUCUUUUAAUUCAAAAUGCAUUAAAAUGAAAAAUUCAGUUUCUCAGUUGCACUAGCCACAUUUCACAUGGUCAAUAGCUACAUGUUGCUAGUGGCUACCAUAAGCGACAACACAGAUUUAGACCUUUUGGACAUCUUACAGACCAUCAUAUUCAUUCUUGAUUUAAGUGACAUUAUGUUGAUUGAACUGGAUGAGAAAGAAGUAGCUAGCACAGUAGUAAGACACAUGUUCCAGGGAGUGGGAGAGAAACCCUGCAAAUAUUCAGGGGGCUACCAUAUUCAUAAAAUUUUUUGGAGCCAAGUGGUCAGAGGCAUGGCAUGGCAUCCUUCCAAAAGGAAAAGAAAAAAUUAUUAUGUCUUGUACUUUCUGACUUGAAGAAGGGAGCACAAUAACAAUGCCUGGUGGUACUCUUCAGUUCUAUUGACAGCAUGUUCUGCACACAGAGCUGUUACUCUGGCCCAUAUACUGAGUAAUGCAAAAGUCUGCCAGCUUUGAGAUGGCCCACCCAGAACAGGAAAAAGUUCUUCAGCCCUGCCAUUUGGGUCAUAUGAUCCAGUAGGCCCUAUGGUGUUGGAGGUAUUGGUGGGAAAAGAUGCCAUAUGGGGUUUGUAACAAUCUCCAGUGAGAGAAUCACAACACAGGCUCGUGGGUUUCUGGAGUAAGGCCAUGCAAUCUUCAAUGAAGAGUUGUAUGCUUUAAAACAAGAAAAGCUCCCGGCUUAGUACUGGACCCUAGUAGAACCAGAAUGCCUAACAAUGGGAUGCCAAGUGACCAUGUGGCUGGAAUUAUCCAUUAUCAGCUGAGUGCUGACAGACCCACAGUUAUAGGAUGGGUAGACCCACACUCCAUUGCAAGAUGGAAGUGGUGUGUUUUAGGUUGCGCAUGAGCAGGACCAGAGGGAACAAGCAAGUUCAUGAGCAGGUUGCCCACACCCCCAUGGCAUCCACCACUGUUGCAUUAAUGGCCCUCCCUCAGCUCGUGCCUGUGGCUAUAUGGGGAUCCCAUACAAGCAGUUGGAGAGGGAACAAAAAGUCUGAUCUCUGUUUACAAAUGGGUGAACUCGUUAUGUGGGUACAAGCCAAAAUGGACAGAAGCUACAUGAUAGCCCCAAUGCAGCCUUGAAAAACAGCAGUGAGACAAAAUUCUCCUAGUUGUAGGAGUUUUGGAUAAUACACUUGGCCAUCUAUUUUGUAUGAAAAAGAAAUGGCCCUAAGGUUUAAUAUUAUGGACUCAUGGGCAGUGGUGAAUGGAAACAGAUUGAAAGAUCAGGAACAAAGAAGUCUGGGUUAAUGACAAGUGGAUAUAUGAAUGGGAGUUGUCAUGAUGUGUGAGUUGUCAUGAUGUGUGAAGAUUUUUAUAGUGUACAUUAAUGCCCAACAGAGAACAUCCACCACAGAAGCAACACUAAACAAGCACAUGGGCAAAAUUACUCAUCCAGUUAAUAUUAGCCACCCUGUUGUCAACCAGACUGUCAUCAGCCACCUCCAUGUUGGCAUGAUGGACACAUGAACAGAGUAGCUGCUGUGGCAAAGAUGGAGGAUACACACGGGUUCAACAGCAUGAGUUCUGACUUACCAAGAGUGAUCUAUCUACAGCCACUGCCAACUGUCCAGCCUGCCAGCAACAGAGACCAAUGCUGAACACUCAAAUGAGUACCAUUCCUUGAAAAUGUCAAGUGGCCAUUUGAUGGCAAUAUGACAACAUUGGGCCCCUUUCAUCCAGAAGGCUAGAACUUCACUUUCACAAGAAUAGGCACAUAUAACUUGCAUAAUACGCCCUUACUGCCUGCAGGGCUUCAGCCAGCACCACUAUUCAUGGGUUUUUGUAGACAUAGAUCCAACAAUAUGAAUUCCAGUAGAGGGAGAGAGAGAGAAGAGAUAAAGAUUGAGAAUGCUGCAUUCCCAGAAUUGAAAGGAGUUCAGAUGCCUGGAGAACAGGAGAAAAAGUUAGCAAAGUGGAGUUGGGAGAUGAAAUUGGAGAGGUCAUCAAGGAGUAGAUUAUGAAAAGCCUUUGUAAGCCAUACUAAGAAGUUUGGGCCAUAUGGAUAUGGGUAGUAAAGGAAGGGUUUUAAAAAGGCAAGUGACAUAACCAAAUUUGCCAUGAACUCCUUAUUAUCUUGGAAAUACUUCUCACCUUAUUUGUUGAGAAGAGGAGGAAUGUGAAGUUCUGGACUAAAUUACAGUCUCACGUGAGCCAGGCUUCUGUCCUAUUUAUCACAGAAGAAAGCCCUCUCAUGUUUAUAAUGAGACAAUUGCCAAGAUUAUUUUUUUCCAAGUAACAAAAACAUACAAAUGGGGGGGUUGUUACCUGCUCAUAUUUGUAAAACCUAAGAACGGAAUAUAGAAAUGCUCAAAGAGCAUGUUUGAAUAUAUUUCUCUGUAAAACAUGACAGAAAGGAGUGAUUAUUUAAAUUGGACAGGACUUUGCAUUCCUGGCUCCUUGGUGGCAAUGCUUUUUGUCUGAACUCUCUUACUAGAAAAAUGUCACAAAGGAUAAAAAAUGAGUCCAGUAAGUUUUAUUCAAUUUCAGAGUCUAUUAUAUAUUCUGUUUUACACAAAGCAUGUAAUUUUAAAUUUCAUAGAUAGGCAUACUGAACAUGUGCUUGGUAGAUAUACAGCUGUUUGUACGGGUGAAAUUGAAACCCUCCAGGGAGGGUACAUUAAUAAUUCCUUACUUGUAAGACAGAACAGCCGUCUCAUAUUCCAAACAAAGCCAGGCCAGCCAAAAGUGAUUCAUGGUCAUUUAUAAAAACUGAUUACCAAUCACCAGAUCUUAAAGCCAUGGCAACCUUUAUUUUUCAGUCUCAUAAACAGUAAAGCUCCCUUUUGUUAAACACGAGAGACCUUUUUCCCACAGAGGAGUUACUAAAUGCAAAAGCUAAUUUUCCACGUCUGACAGCAUGUAUGAAAGCGGAUGAAUACAUAUAUGAUAAACAUAUAUUUCAGUAGAAAGAAAAUAUCAAUGUGCAUAUAUUUAUGUAGGUUUUCUUUCACUGAGCUGUUGAUCCAGUCCUUUGUUUUAGCGUCCCAAAGGCAAAAUUUUUCCUGACGGGACAGUUUAAAAUAUUCACUUCAUUAAUCUUAGAUAAAAUCUAUAUUCAUAUUUAGUUUUAAUGGUUCUUCUGAACAAGAUAUCAAAAUAGUACUUUCUGUAUUUAAUAGUAGGAAACAAGAGAUUCUAAUAAUUCCUGAUUUGUAGCUUAAUCUCAAUGCUUGGUGAAGACAUUAGAUAAAUCACUCAUCAAUUUUUGAUCACCUAGGAGUCCCAAGGUAUGGGAUAGAACCAGCAUGACUCUGUGACUAAGGGGUCCUGCUGGAGUCCCUUUUCCCUGUUUCAAUGGUUGAGUGACAGCCAAGUAGAUAAGAGAAAGUAACAAGGUCAUUUCUCUCUUGGCCUUCAUUUACUCUCUCAGUGUCUGUUGUGGGCUCCAGUGAGAGAGUAACUUCUCCAAGGUCAGCUUGAAAUCCUGGAAGUGUGUUCACCCAUCAUGUAGUCAAAAGUGCUGGUGAAGUCAUGUGAAAUCCAACACUCAGUAAAGGGAUAGACAGAGGGUGAGGAGAUAGAUAGCAUAGGCAAAUCUAUGUUUAUUUCCCAUAAUGUGCAUAAUCGCUCUUGCUUUUGGAGGAAUUCCUUAAAACAUUUCAAUUCAGAGUGAGCCAAGGGAGUUUAAGAAACAAUUAGUUCUGAAUCAGAUGAUAUUUUGGGCCAUGUUUGACGGUGACGUGGCCACAGCUGAGCAACGGUUGAAAUCAUAUUUACUUGCUGAUGUCCACUGGUACCUUUGAGCCCUCAUUUGAUGAAUAAGUAAUCUCAUGUUUUAGGCCACUUGGCUUCUCCUUCUCAAACUCUUGAGUCUUACUUUUGAGCACUGGCCCUUCCAGAGCCCUAGGACUUUCCUGACUAGGUCUUCAUUAAAGGAGUUAGCUCCAGGUUCAUUGUCUGUGGGCUCCUGCUUUGUUAUGUCUUCCUUGUCCUUUGGCCAAGUGCUGCCCGUUAAAGUGAUCCUGAGUUUGAGCCUUGUUUACUUCUAUAAUAGGAUUGAGUCACUCUUGUUGCACAUCUUGACUGGUGUUAUCAUUAAUGGUAUAUUGACUACCUCAGUCAAAAGUGGCCGGGCUCCUGUUGUCUUGUCUGCUUGCUUGAGCAUUUUUAGGUUAAACUUGAAAGAAGGAUUAGUUGUGGGGGAAAAAUUAGUUCAAAAAUUCCAGUUCAGUUUUGGCCAUAAGAACAAUCUUUAUUUCUUGUUCUGCACCAAAUAUAUAAUCCCUCCUGGGUCUCUUCUAAGCUGUGUAAGCAGAUAAUUUCCAGUUUUUCAAUGGCAUUUUUAAUGGUUGCCUUCUGGAAUUCAGCUUUCAAGGGAUUUCCUGAUAAGAGCUAUGUAAUCAGGAUGGAAUCUCUUAUUAAAAGGACUUUCCUUUUCCAAAGCUUGAAGAAAGUCUGUUUCUCCCUUCUCAAAUUAUCAGGCUAUCUAUCAAUAAUUGAAGGUGAGAUCGAAACUAUGACCUUGGCAGGUAGUGCAGAAGAUUUGCAGAAGUUGUUCGAUAGUGUGAACUAGUUUUUAGAUUAUGUGUUUUUUAACUAUAUUAAAGGUAAACUUCUUUUGACACUCUUCAGGAUCCUGGGAACAGGUUCUUUUAUUCAAGAAACAUUUCACUUCUUCAACAAACAGUACUAUGGCAGUAUAGGAAGAGAAUGAACUGAGAAGUUUCCAGCUGCGCUUUCAUACUGACUGUCCUUGGCAUAUUACCAUAGAGGGGUCCAUCUUUGGCCUAGUGUCUCACAGUUCUGAGCACACUUCCAAGUUUAUCCCAGGCCUAGUGCAUACAGAACUUCAUCUGAAUCAUCUGGGGAGUGUACUAAAAUACAGAUUCCAGACUCCAAGCCAGAUAUAUAGUCCAUAUCUAUAUGGAAGGACUUGGAAUCUGUGUUUUAACAAGUUCCCUAGAUGAUACUUAUGCAAGCUGCAUCAGAAAUUGUGGCCAGAAUCCUGUCUCCUUAACUUACUAACAUGACCUUAGACAAUCUAUUUAACCUCUGAGUGCCUCUAUUUUCUCAUCUGUAAAAUGGCAGGUAUCAAUAGUGUCUACCUCAUUGGUAGUUGAAGGGAUCAUGUGAGUUGAUACAUGUAAUUAAUAUAUGUUAAGUGCUUAGACUAGUAUUUAGGAAGUGCUAUGUAACUAUUUUCUAUAGUAGUAUUGCUAGUGGCCCUAGUGGUCUAGUGGUUAAGAUUCAAUCCUCUCACCACUGUGGCCUGGGAACCACAUCAUCCAUCUGUUGGUUCCCAUACUGUGGCUGCUAUGCCACUGGUAUUUAAAAUGCCAGCAGGGUCACCCAUACUGGACAGGGUUCAGCGGAACUUCCAGACUAAGACAGACUAGGAAGAAGAAACUGGCCACUCACUUCCAAAAAAACCUGGCCAUGAAAACCCUAUGAAUAGCUGCAGAGCAUUGUCUGGUAGUGCCGGAAGGUGAGAGGUGCAAAAAGACCAGGCAGGUUCUGCUCUGUUGUAUAGAGGGUUGCUAGGAGUUGGAAUCCACUCAACAGCACUAAGAACAACAAAUUUCUAGUAGCAGAAGACUUAGCCUAUAAAGAUUUCCCUAUGGACUCCCAGUUGUGCCCAGUUUUAGGGCUAGCCAGUUAUCAUGAGGUAAGGUCUCUCAUCUUGUGCUUGACUGGGUUAGGAUAAGCAGAGGCCAUGUUGUAAGCCUAGGGGGCUGAGAGAGCACAGGGCAGUAGACAGAAUGUGGUGCUUGAGGCCAACUUCAGUUUGAGUCCUCCUAGUAGCCAUGUGACCUAAGGCAGGAGCCUAGUUCCCUGGCCUGUUAAAUGGAAGUAAGAAAAUUAACAUACACUCUGUUCAUCUUUUAAGGCUUAUGUUUUGAAACAGGUUGCUAAAAUAAGACUUUUCCUGUUGACUAGGUUUUGAUAUUGUGUCCUGCAACUCGAUAGAGAGGAGAGAGACCAUGCUAAAGAGUGACUCCACAAUGAACUGGCCACUCUUGGCCAUCGCAUUCCUCAAAGUUAUAUAAUGGAAGGCAAAGGAAAGCAUGGAGAGUGAAGAAUUCUUUGGAGAAAGAGUGUUAGUAUGCUGUGCAUUGCCUCUCUCCUGUCUUCUUCUCCCCUCAAAGUCAAGUGGGCAGGGACUUCAGAGAAUGAUCCAGAAAGCUUAAUAUAUGUCUCUUGAACUUGGGGAGGGAGAGGUGCUGGGAUAUGACGCAACUUGAGAAAGCCCUAGUGAGAGGCUGGCUGGAGUCCUUUGCUGUGACAGAGCAGAGACAGGGUUACAGUGGAAUGAGCUGCCCUUCCACCACAGAGGGGCAAAGGGGCUUAUUUACCGUGGGCUAGACGUAGACCCUGGGACAGAAGGGUCAUGAGCCAUCUUGCAAAAGAACCCUGGGCAUGAGGGCAUCCUGUUAGGAUGUGAUGUGAGCUCUGUAGAAAAAUCCUGAGUGCACCAUUAGCUGCAGAAGCUGUGGAGGAUCAUGAAGAUCAGCUGGGGAUGGCAUCAGGGGAUCUUCAUUCAGAGCAUGAGGGCUGGGAGUGGAACCUCCAAACAUCCACAAAAGCACCCCAGUAGAGAAAGAAUUGAGUGAACAUUUGGACAACUGCUACAGCCAAGGGUACUAAUACCACAUUAUAUACGUGUGCAUGACAAGAGAGGCCUUUUCUUGUCUUUCUUAUUGCUUCUCCCUUCCCUUUAUCUGACUCUAGAGAGGCCAGAAAUGGUCAGUAAAGGAAGAUGUGAGGCAAAACCAAAUCCAGAUGGUCCAUGCUCCCCCAAUUCCUUUGUGUAGAUUUUUGAGCCUGGGACAAACCCAAGCUUGGGGAGGGUUGAUAUUAAAUGAUGGUUUGAAACUUUAAUAUUGGACUGGCCUGGAGCUCUCAAAAUCUUGAAGUGACUGUAAAAGCUAUAGGAACUCUCUAGAAUUUUAUCCAAUGACAGAGAAGACUGAUUCUACAGAGUAGAUUUGAAGAGUCAGCAAUGAGACAAAAUAAAUAUACUUUUGACUUGCAUACUUUCACAAAACCAGUUAACCUUUGUAACGUUGCAAGAAUCAAAGAAGCUAAUGGGUGGGAAAUUUCUUUGAAUAUUGUAAAGUGUACAUAUUUUGAAAUAUUGGUUAUAUAUGCUUUUAGCUAUUACUGAAAAAAAAUAAAACAGAAAACACCUAGUAAACACCUACUCAAUGUAAAGAAGGCCCUGUGUUAGAUAUUUAGAAAAUAUAGAGAUAAGUAUGACACUGCCCUGCCUGCAGAGUGACAGUUGCAUACCUGACAGUUUCCUUACCCAGCCUUCUGCAAUGCCAAAUGAAGUCAGACAGCAAGGUAAUGGGAUCAAACGUGAAAAUAAGCCACAGCAGCUAAUUCCCUAUAGAAGUGGUUCAAACUAAACAUAACGAUAGUUUGUCUUCUUGCUCCCUGUCGCUGAGCUCCUCAAGCCGGCAUUUCUCUUAUCUUCAAAUACCUGCCUCUUUCUGAGAAUCUGCCUCUUGCCCUGGGUUCCAGCGGCUGCUCAAUGCUUGCUUCGUUGUUGCUUCACUGUUCUUUCUCCACUGUUCUUUCUCCAUUUCCCACAGUGGUCUCCUCACAGCCUACUGCUCAGUUACUCUCUUUAACCUCAGGGAGAAGAAUCUCCUUCCUUGUGCCACUGGAGUGUGGAACAGGAAAGAAGGAAGAGAUGGCAUAAUUCAAACCAAAUGGAUUUUUUUGGACCACAUCCAGUUCCCUUAGCCUAUGGCACCUGGAAUCACAACACUCAGUGGCCAACUCUGUGAUGUCAUUUUGGUCCCUCUUAUAAUCCAACAUGUUCAUAGAUAAUGCUGCACCUGGUGCAUAGUAGGAACUUAAUAUCCAUGGAAAAUGGAUGUUUUUACUUAUUGUAUAUAGUUUUCUGGAUGAAGGCAGUGAAGCUAAUCCUAGGUCUUUUCUAAUCCAGGCUACAGUCAGAUUUCUGUAUCUUCUUAAAAAUUGUAUUUUGGAUGAUCAAGGGAUCCAGAAUGUUCAUCUAUUGCCAUAGUGUCCAUCUAUAAUAUGGCAGUGCUAAUAUGGCAGUAUAUAGAAGGAGAAUCCUGGCUGCACAAGAAAAAUGCUUGUCUGGUCUGUGUCACUCAAGUGAGAGGAUCACUUCAGUUUGGCAACCUGAAAAAAGCAGAAGAACAACAAAAACCCCACAAAAAACAAACAAACAAAAUGUGGUUCCGUAUUCCUCAAGUGGAGACCAUCACUUUGCUGAGCUGAGUUCCACUUCACCGUUGUGUGUGGUUGGCCUCCUGCUGUAGUAGAGGGCCACUCUGGCCCAGAGAUACAACUGCCUGUGAUGGGGAGUAACCCUACUCUGAUCCAUGCAAAUGGUCUUAAUUACUGUAUCUUUUGAACAGCUCCACUCCCUCUUGCAAUAUGCAAGCGAGACGUUCCUUUCCGUCUCUGGGGAUUGGGAUGCCUGGAUGAGGAAGGAAAAGGACACCAGGAAAUGACAGCUGAAAGCCAGAUUGCAAAAGAGAGAUAGGAAGCAUCAAAUACGGACAUAAAAACCCGAAAAGAAACCAGUCUGCAGCUAUUUAUAGCACAAACAAAUAGUUUGAAACCUUUCAAUCUUCCUCCUCUAUCAGGGCUCAUUUAAAAAAUACUCAAUUUGGGUAACAAAUGAUUAAAAAAAGUUGGAUUAUUUUAGUAGAGAUGGCUGUGAGGGUGUCAUGCAUUUUGAAAAAUUUUCCAUUCAGAACAGAUGCACAUUGAGGUGCAAUUUUACUUUGUGAUAGUAAACUUGUCUGGAAUUCUGCAUUUCGAGAAAAUAUCAAUUAAGGAUUAAGUUAAUUGAACAUCUAUUGCUUAUCUAUUCUGUGUGAACCCUAUAGAGACAUUAAGACAUAGUACCUGUCCUCAAGGUGUUUGUAGUUUUUAGUGGGUUACUCCAGUGAGAAUCAUUUGCGUCUCACAAAAGGUGGAUAUUGAUGCUUUCUCUUGGAGCUCUGAUGGACCUUUUAGUGACUCUUGCCUUCUUCUUCACUCAAAAGAUAUGCUGCUGUGCAACUUGGGGUCAUUUUAUUACAAUGUAGAGCUCAUGAUUCCAAUCCUCAGAGCUGUAAAAAUGAAGUCCACCCUGGGAUCCAGGGAAAGGCUUGGGAAGGGUACCAGAAUCAUCCCCAACCUACUUAAAAAGGGUACAUCACAGAGCAUUAUCCUGUAGGUCCCACAUCAGUUCACAAAGCUCCAAGAAGCACCUUUAGCUUACAGGAGGCAGCAUCUGUUGUGGAGACAGCCCACCUGUAAGGGAUGGCCUGGCUAACAGUCGUGCCUCUAAAGCUAUAGGCUUUGGGUGAGAUGCUCCCUUUUGGGAUCUCAGUUUCCCCAUCUGAAAAACAAAAAGGCUGAACGCACACCUCUGCAGGGUUCUUCCUGGGAUGACUUUUGGAUUAGGCUCUUUCCUUUUGCUGUGCUAUUGUAGUCUACAGCCAGGUCUGCUUCACUGACAUCUGGAGUAAGCCCAAUGAGGCAGUAAAUACAUGCACAAAGCUCUUUAUAUGGCAAUAGGGUAGACCCUUGCUUGCUGAAGCUCCUGAACACCAACAUCCUCAGCUUAAAACAGCAUGAAAGGCAAUGGCCUCUGAGUUCUGUAUUUCUGACUCUCUGGUUCCCACUUUGGUGAGAAUCAAAGUGAGGCACUGAGGAAUAUGUACAUUCUUAUAUAUCUUUGACCUUGAGUAUAUCCUUCAUACUGCUUGUUGGUUGAUUGGCAGCAUUGGUGAAGAUUUCUUAACCGAGAUCCAGUUGACAUUCUUGCCAAGACUUCACAUCUGAACCAGCCUUUGUGUUCUUCCGUAGGACACAUGCUGCUUGAAUUUAAAAAUUAGAACUUAUUAAAAAUUGUAUUAAUUCCCAGCCAUUCCUUCAAAACAAAGAAAUGACUGAAUGAAUAGUCAUUAAUUUAUUUAAUUCCUAUUUGCUCAGGCUGGACAUCUUAAGAUGCCCUUACGUCAGCCUUCCACCCAGGGCCUAAUACCUAAUCAGUAACUAAGCCUGUUGAUGCUUCUCCACACCAUCCUUCCUCUCUGUGUCUACCUCCACUGCCCUAAUUUAGGAGUGUAUCGCAGUUGAUCUUGGCUAUUGCAAUAUCCUCCAAAAUUGUCACCAUGCCUUAUCUUUCAACAUUCCAAAAUCCCAUUCAUCACACAUGUUUAUCUAUAUUAACUUCAUAAAUCUUAAACCCUCGUCAUGGUUUUCCCCUAUUCCAAAAGUUCAGCAUUUUCUGUUGGUCCAAAUUCCUCAGUCUCUCAUUCAGGGCCCUCAAACCUCUUUUCUAGUGCUUCCUGAUGCAUUCCAACACAAAACCUAGGCCCCAUCUUCACUAAUUUCUUCAGUGAACCUCCAGGGAACUUUCAUUUCCUUCCGUUACACAUUUAUGUACAUGCCCUAAACCUCGCAGUAUGCUGUAAGCAAUUUGGGAGUAAUAUUCAUGCUGACUCCAUCUCCCACACAGCCCAGAGCGCGACGCAGACUGCUUUUCCAUCAAUGUUUAUAGAAAAAACCAGUGAGUGUACCCUGUAAAGCCAUUGCCAUUUUUACCUUCGCCUCUUCUCUCACAUAACGCUCUCUGCUUGGAAUGCUCUUUUCUGUUCACUUUAAACUGUUUGCUAAUUUUGGUGAGUUAAAGUUCAUUUUCAUCUAUGAUUUCCCAUUCAUUGGCGCAAAACUCUUCAUAAUCUCUUCUUAUCUAAUUAAUAUUUGUGGCAUUUGUAAUUAACUCUCCCUUUUCAUUCUGAAUAUUGUUUAUUCAUGUGUUCUCUACCUUUUAUCUUGAUCAGUCUUGAUGGAGGUUUGUUAAUUUUAUUACCCUUUGCAAAGAAGCAACUUUUGGCUUUUGUUUUUAGCUUCUCUAUUGUAUGUUGGUUUUUUAUUUUAUUAACUUCUUCUCGUAUCUUUAUUAUUUCCCCCUUCUGCUUUCUUUGGGUUUAAUUUACU